GCCCCGGCGCAGUGCACAGAGCUGAUGUUACACAACUUAGCUACCUAGGUUUCUACACAUAUCUAAUAGAUACGAUAACUGGUCCGGAGGCUAUAAUUUCCUACCUCUGCCGGCAGUACGGCGUGCAUAGGAUACCCAUAGGCAAUGACCAUACUUAUAAAAACAGCGCUAAAGUUCCCGCUAAUAUCACUCAUUACUUCACUGAAAACCAUAGAUUUAGUGUACGAGUGUCCGCAUACAGCGGUGCUAAAAGCAGUUCUAUUAUAGAAAUACGACAGGCGAGGUUGCUGGCGAAUACUGUGGAUGUAGACCAAA